rnacentral:tRNA from 1 species
AAAAAUCUAGUUUAUUUAAAACAUUAAUUUGUCAAAUUAAAAUUACUUAGGUGAUUUUUGCCUCAAAUAU